UUAGACUCGCAGGCUGUCCGUCUACAAGGUCCUGCUGAUCCGCUCAUGUCAUGCAGGAGACCCGGGGCAUCUUUUUCCUCCUCAACACACCACCACACUCACCUAACACACACACGCUCGCCGACACGAACCCCCUCGCGCACGCACGCACACAUACACACACACAGACAUGUCGAUCGAUUUGCAUGUGACUUCGUCAGGGAAUGAGCCGAGAAUCGACUCAAAAACAUCGCUUCAAAGAGGCAAAGAGCCACGAUAAAAUAAAAAAGCAAAAGGCGGACAAAGUGGGGGAAAGAGGAAAAGUGUAGCGAUAGAGAAACUAAGGCAGGGCGGAGGGAUUGAACAUUUCACAGACAGACGUGCCGGAGAAACACACAAAAAAUGUGUUUAUCCAGAAGAGGAUUUUAUAAGCAUACGACGGUACUGAAACCCUGGAUGUGGCGAGGGUCAAAUCUGUCAAAAAAUAGGAGGAAAGAGAUGUUCCCCUUCGCCCCGGACGCACACGGACCCACAGGCUGGACUUGGAGCUCUUUUUCUGGGCUACGCUCGCAUGGAGCUGCCGCUACUCUCCGUCCGCUCCACACAGCACCAUUUCUUAUUGCAUCUGUGUCUUAAAACACGUUUCUUGACACCCAUAAGCCCUCUAUACCUUUCCCCAAACCCACCGAAAUGCACAUAUUUGUUUGAAAACCGUGUUUUUCUACGGCAAACUGCUUGGAGAGGAUCGCUGUCUUGCCCAUUUCUUAUCUACCAUUCAUGAGGAGGAGAGGACGAACGCUGAUGUAAACACAGGUCUGAAAGAGUGACAACAGAGGAUCCAUGCAGCAAAAAGACAGACGGAUUGGUGAAAAAAAGAAGAUGAUGAGUUUGCAUCUGGAAGAUUCUAUCACUUCCUGUUGUUCCUGUAAUGCCAUGACUUCCCGGUUUGUCAGGGCGACCUGUGGGAGUGUGUGUGUCGGAUCAAUAGCCCACCCACAGCAAGAGCCGCGGGCCAUCCCUGACCUGAGCUAUUGAUUAGGCCUGGCUCAGCUGCCAAUAGCAAUGUACUGGAUGCGACACUGGGCUAAGGCAGGAGCUGAGGAAGGGGGAUUGUGAAUUGCCAGUGGCAGCCCCACAGCACACCGCAGAUAAAAGUCAAUUCCACUUAACCAAAUCACUGACAACUAAAUAGUUAGAAGACGGAAGAAUGCCGAGAGUCUCUGAUGGCAGCAGCUGGAUGACUUCGGGGAUUUCCGCUGACCUGGACAGCAACAGGCCAUGGGAGCAACACAAUGAAGAACCCAGAACUCUGACUGAUGAUGACCUCUGCCUGCACGUCAGUGUGUUCAUCUUUUAAUCUGUACUCUUCUCACUCUGCAGGUGGCAUCUGUAUCAUUAACAGAUUAGGGACACCCAUCAAUGGCUGUCAGAGGAUGAUUAUAAUCCCACCUGCUGCUGUGGACGUGCUUGACUCCAACUGCUACAAUAAUUAUUGACUUUAAUAUCGUUUUCUAAUGCAAACACUAGUCAUAUUUUGCAUUUAACAUUGCCUCUAUGAGUCUUGUUGUCAUUUUGUUGCUAACUGUCCGUUUCUCUCUAUCAUACCUCUCCUUUUCUGUAUAUCCCUCUAUUCCUAUUUAAAGGCCAAUUUAAUUGCAGCAGGUGGCUGUUCACCCAUGUGUCCGGUUCUGCUCGAGUUUUCGACCUGUUUGAGGGAAGUAUUUCCUCGGUGCUGGUGCCAUGUGCUUUUUCAUGGUGGAUUAAUAUUAUGAUUUCUGUCAUCAUUUAACAAAAAGUACAGUCUAGACCUGCUCCUAUUGUAAAGUUGUGUUUUUUUUGGCGCUAUGUAAAUAAAAAUGUAUUGAUUUAUGAAGUGAUUAAUGUGAGGGACAACUUUUUACAAAGGCUAUCAACGGUUGAUUAUCUAGGAAUAUUUGAAAUUCAUUAUCAGAUCUUUAUCAAUGAUUGAUGAUUACUACAUUUUUUUUUGAAGAAGGGUGGUUAUCAUGUAGAUGCAGUGCAGGUCAAAAACAUGGGCAAGAAAAAGACAAUAUGCACACACUUACACGAUGCCACUGAAGUGCUGAGUAUGUGUAUAGCUUCCUCUUCUGGCUACUAGAUUUAUAUUACAAUAUAGAAAUCAAUUCACAAAAUGUUUUUAAA